ACAAACCAAGCUCUCUCCAGCACAGAAAAUUAUGGAGCUCAAACCAACCUCCAACAAUGGCCAAACCUCAACCCCUGAGAAUGAGCCUAACCCUAGCAAUGGCGAAACCCACGACCCCCAUUUCUUCUACGAAGACAUUGACAGCAACUGCUCCACUCCUUACGUCAGCGCUCCCUCCAGCCCCGGCCGCGGCCCCAUCUCCGGUUUCUUCUACAGUGCACCGGCGAGCCCAAUGCACUUUGUGCUCUCUUCCGCUUCGAUGAACAAUCACAACUCUUCUUGUUUUGAUACUUCCGCGUCGGAGUUCGAGUUCUCAGCUCGAUUCGGGUCCGGUGGAUCUAGUGCCACCGGGCCGAUGAGCUCCGCGGAUGAGUUGUUCUUGGAUGGAAAGAUCCGGCCAAUGAAGCUGUCGACCCACCUGGAGCAGCCGCAGGCGCCGCUGCUCGAUCUGCAAGGUGUCAAUGAGGAAAAUGGUGUCGAGGUGUUCGAGUUCGGGCCGAUGAGGGGGAGGGAUCUGAGGUUUAGGGACAAGUCGCUGCGGAGGAGGACUAGAUCCAUGUCGCCGAUGAGAAACAUGCCUUUCGGGUGCGAGAUUUACGGCGAUAAUGAAAUCAGUACUGAUCAUUCUUGUUUUGAUAAAGAUCCAGAGCAUGGCGAGUUGGGGAAGAAGGCGGAGAAUGGCGAGGAGGAGGAGGAAGUUGGGAGCUUGGAGACUACUCCUUCGGUUUCGGCCUCGUCUUCGAGGUCGUCCUCAGCUGGAAGAAACUCGAAACGAUGGGUGUUUCUGAAGGAUUUUCUUCACAGGAGUAAAAGUGAAGGAAGAAGCAACAACAAAUUCUGGGCCACAAUCUCAUUCUCUGGAAGUGGCAAAGAGAAGAAGACAAUGAAGAGUGGGAGUCAAAAUAAGGAGGGUUUGAGUUUGGGCCCGGAGCCGGCGACUCAGAAGGCCAAGGCGGCAAUUGGGUCUGCUUCAGGGAAGAAGCCGGUGGCCGGAAAGCCAGCCAAUGGAGUAGGGAAGAGGAGGAUGGUGCCGUCGCUUCAUGAGCUGCAUUACACUGCUAAUAGAGCUCAGGCGGAGGAAAUGAGGAAGAAGACUUACUUGCCCUACAGGCAAGGAUUGCUUGGAUGCUUGGGUUUUAGCUCGAAGGGGUAUGGAGCUGCCAUGAGUACUGGGUUUGCCAGAGCACUAAACCCAGUCUCUUCAAGGUAAAAACUAGUCGGUUAA